rnacentral:rRNA from 1 species
GGGAAAUCUUACCGGGUCCGGACACACUGAGGAUUGACAGGCAAUCAUGUAGAUGUGUCAUCGGGGCUAGCUCUGCUGGUCUUGCUUGACCGUCUACAUAUAAAUAUGCUAGUCCUUUCAUGAUUAUGUGAUAGGUGGUGCAUGGCCGUUCUUAGUUCGUGGAGUGAUCUGUCUGCUUAAUUGCGUUUCGCACUGGACUUAAAAAACAAGUGCGCUUCUUUCCUUGUGUGCGCCGUGCAGGAAUUCGUGUUUGACGGAAUAUUGUGUUUGGUAAGUCCAAUAUUGUAGUUGCACAUUUGCGGCUGUAGUGUUGCGUCAUUAUCACCUUUAUCUCCUAGCGUUUUCAUUUAACUGCUGCGGUCACAUUUAAUUACGGGAUUGCUUGCGCAUAUUAGGUCCUGAAAGCAACGA